rnacentral:rRNA from 1 species
UAGGGAAUCUUCCGCAAUGGGCGAAAGCCUGACGGAGCAACGCCGCGUGAGUGAUUAAGGUCUUCGGAUCGUAAAACUCUGUUAUUAGGGAAGAACAAAUGUGUAAGUAACUAUGCACGUCUUGACGGUACCUAAUCAGAAAGCCACGGCUAACUACGUGCCAGCAGCCGCGGUAAUACGUAGGUGGCAAGCGUUAUCCGGAAUUAUUGGGCGUAAAGCGCGCGUAGGCGGUUUUUUAAGUCUGAUGUGAAAGCCCACGGCUCAACCGUGGAGGGUCAUUGGAAACUGGAAAACUUGAGUGCAGAAGAGGAAAGUGGAAUUCCAUGUGUAGCGGUGAAAUGCGCAGAGAUAUGGAGGAACACCAGUGGCGAAGGCGACUUACUGGUCUGUAACUGACGCUGAUGUGCGAAAGCGUGGGGAUCAAACAGG